rnacentral:lncRNA from 1 species
GUGCAGUCCUGAACUUGCUUAUCGGGGUGUGAAGUCAUAAAUUGUUGGGGCACUAACUACAGUAUGUUCUCACCGGCUCACUUUCUCUAAAGGCCUCAAUCAAGUCCCUAAUAUUAACUUUUUCACCAAAAAAAAAAAAAAAAAACACACACAUACACAAACUUUAACAAAAAGUCACACACAAACCCACAGGUUAAUCUAGGAUAACUUUCUCUACUCCAGGAACGAAUCAAAGGUUAAAAGUGAUUGCUUGCUUUUAAGUUAGAACAAGGGAGUGGGGGCGGUUUCCAAAGUUAACAUAGGCUUUAGCUGUUUAUUACCUGGUCCUGGCUCCAAGGUCACCCUAGACUUUCUACUGAAAGAAGAAAAGAUAACAACACAAAGGAAGGCUGUUUUCAGUUCCUGGCCGUUCUUAAUCCGAGAGCUGUUGAAACUGUAGGUGGCAUGGCUACCCUGCACUUAAAGGAGUUGUUCUAGAAACAGGAUCUUGCAAUGUAACCCAAGCAGGACUGCAGCUUGCAAGUCCUCUUUUGGGUCCCUGUGGUGGAGUUACAGGCCUCAGUGCCACACCUGAUCUACUUCAAGGGUUUUUCUCUCUGAUUUGGCAUAUAAGUUUAAAGCUGGAGAUAAUAUAUAGUGAUUCCCUGUGCUAAAAUGCCAUAUUUUUCCAUUUUUUAAAGAUUUAUUUAUUUUAUGUAUAUAAGUACACUGUAGCUGUCUUCAGACACACCAGAAGAGAGCAUCAGAUCCCAUUACAGAUGGUUGGGAGCCACCGUGUUGUUGCUGGGAAUUGAACUCAGGACCUCUGGAAGAGCAGUCAGUGCUCUUGAACACUGAGCCAUCUCUCCAGUCCCCCAUUUUCGCAUUAUGUGCCACAAUUUUAUCCUUUGUGUGCCUUUAGUAGGCAUCUUCACCAUGAGAUCCUAUGUAGAUACUACUCUACAUUGAUUGAUUAAUUAAUUAAUUAGAUAUGUUAAUUCACAAAAUUAGCUUUCCCUUCUGCAUCAGUGAAGAUCAGGCUCUUAGAGGCUUCACACAAUGGAAAUUAAGCCUUGUGUAUCUAAGCCUCCAGCACUGGUCACUCGGUCAAGGCUGGUGUUUUGCAUUGCGAUAGCAUUUGAUGAGAAUCAGGCACUGGGCUUUUGACCUACAGCUGGAAGCACCUGUAGGCAGCUUUUACAAAGAAGUUAGGGAGUGGAAAUGCGAUUGUAUCAAAUCCCUCAGUCCCAAAGAAACAUGUCUUUUUUGUUGAUACUUUACUGGUUAAAAUGACACACUUGAUCCCAUGAGCUACAAGGGAGUCUUCAAAAUGCAGUCACUUCUGGGCCAUAAUUCUAGUCUUUGAAAAGAUAGUUAUGAUUUUGCUGGACUAUUGGUCAUCAAGGCCACUUGAGGAGGAGGAAAGGGGAAGGCUGUUUCUGAAAAUGUCACUCCAAGAUAUAAGUACCAACUCAUGCCAUAGUGGAGAGUUUUGUUUUGUUUUUUUAAGUAGAUGUAUCUUAAGGGAUGGAGAAAUGGCUUAAAGGAUGCAGUGCUUGCUAUGCAGAUGUGAGGACUUGAACUCAGAUCCCAGCAUCCACAUUAAAACUGUGUAUGUGUGCAUCUUAGAGCCUCAGUCCUCCUGGAUGUCAAACAUAGGCAGAUCCUGGCAACAAACGGCCAGACACGAUAGCCAAAACAGCCAGCUCCACGUCCAUCACUGAGAGACCCUGGUUCCAAAUUACGGGGCAAAGCAAGCGAGGAAGAUGCCUGACAUUGUCCUCUGAUCUCCACCCAUGAACACAUAGGUGUGCGUGUGCCCACACACACACAUGCCGUAUCACACGCAUAGACACACAAACAAAACAUAUCUCAUGAAUGAACAUUCGCAGUACUGUGUCCAUUCUUUAAAGUACUUCUUUAAAGGCACGCAUGAAACAGCAUCUACAUGUUGAAAUAUGAGGUCAUUACAAUGAGACAGGUCAUUAAAGCCUACUUGAAUUUCUCUCCUGACUCUUUCAUAAGCGAGUUAAUUCCACAAACAGGUUGGUGCAGGGCCAUUCAACCUUCCAGCUUUUUGGUUUCAGAAGUAAGAUUUGGGGAGAGCCCUACUUAGAACGACUCAGGAAUCGAAUCUACAUCCAGUUUCUCUCCGAUAGAACUUGGUCUGACAUCUUGGCCUACCCCCAGUUGUCUGUGUUGUUCAUGUCUGUGUUUAUGGCUGAGGGAGAGGACAUAUUUAGAAUACUGAAGUAAUCCCCGAGGGGAGAGAAAGGAGAGAGGAGUGAAUGAAAACCCCAGAAGUGACAGAAUGUGGAAGUGAGUCCCGGCAUCUCGGCAGACCCCCACAUUUUCCCCUCUUUGGAAAUGAGUAAUACUUUACCCAUUGCUAUAGCUUGUCACUAACAGAAAUGUCCCCUUUUAUAUUGUUCCUCAUGUUGUGAUGACCCCUCCAACCAUAAAAUUAUUUGUUGCUACUUCAUAACUGUCAUGUUGCUACUGUUAUAAGUAGUAAUGUAAGUAUCUGUGUUUUUCCAAUGUUCCCAGACACCGCUAUGAAAGGGAUAGCUCAACCACAAAGGGGUCACGACCCAUGACCUGAGAAUACCUGUCUUACAUGGAGCCUCAAACUUGUUGCUUAGGAUCUUAUAUGAGGCCAGUAUAAUAUCUGAGAGCUAAGAAAUUAGGCCAGUUCAUUCCCUCAACACAGAAGUGAAGAAAGCUAUACCAAGGAUUAAGUGCAGAUGCAACAGGAACUCAUAAUUAAUUAAUUAAUUAAAAAUACAGCAAUAGAACCUAUCUUGAGAGAGGUCUCUGCAGUUAGGAGCACAUCCUGAUCUUACAGAAGACUUGAGGCUGGUUCUCAGCCCCACAUCGGGCAGCCCACAACUGCCUGUAAUUCCAGCUCCAGGAGACCUGAGCCCUCUUCUUUUCUCCGUGGAUACCCAUGCACACAUGACAUAGACUCAUAAGCAUACACACAUAUAAAAUAAAAUAAGUCUU